GAUGAACGCUGGCGGCGUGCCUAAUACAUGCAAGUCGAGCGAACAGACGAGGAGCUUGCUCCUCUGACGUUAGCGGCGGACGGGUGAGUAACACGUGGAUAACCUACCUAUAAGACUGGGAUAACUUCGGGAAACCGGAGCUAAUACCGGAUAACAUGUUGAACCGCAUGGUUCAACAGUGAAAGACGGUUUUGCUGUCACUUAUAGAUGGAUCCGCGUCGCAUUAGCUAGUUGGUAAGGUAACGGCUUACCAAGGCAACGAUGCGUAGCCGACCUGAGAGGGUGAUCGGCCACACUGGAACUGAGACACGGUCCAGACUCCUACGGGAGGCAGCAGUAGGGAAUCUUCCGCAAUGGGCGAAAGCCUGACGGAGCAACGCCGCGUGAGUGAAGAAGGUCUUCGGAUCGUAAAACUCUGUUAUUAGGGAAGAACAAAUGUGUAAGUAACUAUGCACGUCUUGACGGUACCUAAUCGGAAAGCCACGGCUAACUACGUG
rnacentral:rRNA from 1 species